rnacentral:rRNA from 1 species
CCGCGGUAAUACGGAGGAUGCGAGCGUUAUCCGGAUUCAUUGGGUUUAAAGGGUGCGUAGGCGGACUAUUAAGUCAGUGGUGAAAUCCUGCAGCUUAACUGCAGAACUGCCAUUGAUACUGAUAGCCUUGAGUUUGGUAAGGUAGGCGGAAUGUGUAAUGUAGCGGUGAAAUGCUUAGAUAUUACACAGAACACCAAUUGCGUAGGCAGCUUACUGAGCCGACACUGACGCUGAGGCACGAAAGCGUGGGGAUCGAACAG